rnacentral:lncRNA from 1 species
GGCGUCAGCAACUUCAGCAGCAGCACACGACUUCCUAGACAUCAUUGUACUCGUGGUUUUAGCCCAUGCUCUGCGGAGUUUAUGAGCCAGCAAUAAAGCAGCCGAGAAAGGGCACUCAACUACUACCCUGCCUGGUGCCCCUUUGUGCCCGCUCUGCCAGGUUUCACGAAGAAAUCCACCACAGGCAAUGGAUGAAUUUAUCUUCUCUGCAUCUAAACUGCCAGGGCUUAUUUACCCUCCUCCGUAUAAUUAAGACAAUAUUCACCCAAAUUGUUUUCUGCUGAGCCUGCUUCUCCGUGGAAUCCCACGUGAGAAGGCUGCUCUGGCGGCAUGAGGUACCCAGGCCCACAGGCAAUUCAGAAAGCUCAGGAUCCUCACUGUGGACCCACUUUCCGCCUUAGUGAAUGUAAAUUUUUCUGUGUUCAACAAUCAACGACCAAGAGGCUUGUGAGCAGACCGUGCGUGCCCUGGCUCCUCCAGGCUGCUGAGCACGCCCCAUCACCUGAUGGAUGCUGGCUACGCUGGUUUCUCAACAGGCAAGAUCAACCUGACAGAUGCUCCCUGGACAGAGAUUUUCCUGCCAAAUGAUGGAAGCUCUGGCCUUUGGUGCGAGAUUUCUAUUUCCUUGCCUUUCUUGCACACGUACAGGUUGUUUAAUAUCCAAAGUGCACAUUUCCCAUUGUCCCAAAGGCCCCCAUCCACACAAAGCUCUUAGGAAGCUCCUGAGAACUCUGUGAUGGGAGUCAAGGCUGAGCGCUGUGCAGAGAGGGGCUGGCGGAGGGGCUGGCCCAGCACUGGCAGCCACAGCCUCUCACCCCUGCCCUCUCAUGCCUGGCAGGCCACUGUCUACUUCCUCCAGGGCCAUAGAGGAGGAGCCCUGUCCUGCAGGCUUAUUGACAGAGAAGUGCCUGAAGCAGCUGGCCCAGGGCCUUUCCAACCCAAAGGAUUUAUAAUUCUCUGAACCCAUUUCUCAUUGGACAAUAAAUACCAUUUUGCUAAGGCUCCCA